rnacentral:rRNA from 1 species
AACGAACGCUGGCGGCAGGCCUAACACAUGCAAGUCGAACGCCCGUAGCAAUACGGGAGUGGCAGACGGGUGAGUAACGCGUGGGAACGUGCCCUUCGGUUCGGAAUAACUCAGGGAAACUUGAGCUAAUACCGGAUACGUCCGUAAGGAGAAAGAUUUAUCGCCGAAGGAUCGGCCCGCGUCGGAUUAGCUAGUUGGUGGGGUAAAAGCUCACCAAGGCGACGAUCCGUAGCUGGUCUGAGAGGAUGAUCAGCCACACUGGGACUGAGACACGGCCCAGACUCCUACGGGAGGCAGCAGUGGGGAAUAUUGGACAAUGGGCGAAAGCCUGAUCCAGCCAUGCCGCGUGAGUGAAGAAGGCCUUAGGGUUGUAAAGCUCUUUCAGCGGGGAAGAUAAUGACGGUACCCGCAGAAGAAGUCCCGGCUAACUUCGUGCCAGCAGCCGCAGUAAC